rnacentral:rRNA from 1 species
UACGUAGGGAGCAAGCGUUGUCCGGAAUCAUUGGGCGUAAAGCGCGUGUAGGCGGCUUGGUAAGUCUGCUCUGAAAGCCCGGGGCUCAACCCCGGGAGGCGGGUGGAUACUGCUGAGCUCGAGUCCGGAAGAGGCGAGUGGAAUUCCUGGUGUAGCGGUGAAAUGCGCAGAUACUCAGAAGGAACACCAAUGGCGAAGGCAGCUCGCUGGGACGGUACUGACGCUGAGGCACGAAAGCGUGGGGAGCAAACAGG